rnacentral:tRNA from 1 species
GGGGUUGUGGCUCAGUGAUAGAGCACUUGUCUUUCAUGCAUGGGGCACUGGGUUUGAUCCUCAGCACCA